AUCUUUUUUAUGUGUGUUAAGUCAUUUAUACCCUCUAACUAAGCAUACUAUCUAAACCCAAUCCUCCUCUUCUUCGUUACUUUCAUCUACUUCUCUUUCUUCUUCUUCCUCCUUGAUUCUGACGAUCCAUAGCAAAAUAAAGGAUCUCUCUCUCUCUCUCUCUCUCCUUCCAUGAUUUGUACCGCCUUCCUCUCUCCAUCUCUCCAUAGCUUAUUGGAUCAAUUCCUCUUCUCGAUGAUGGAAUUAGUUUGGUUAGUUGAGACAAGAAAUUGAGAAGAAGAAGUAAGCUUGUUUCUUUUAGAUCUCAACUAAAAGAAAGUUAAUUAGUGUUAGGGGACUACUGUGAAAUCUGUUGUGGAAGAAGAAGAAGUCAAAGCUGUUGAAGAAGAUGAGAGCAAUCGUAAGGGUGUGGAGAAGAGUGCAUCGUUCAAAGAAGAGACUGAAGUGCAUCCCCUUAUUUCUAUGUCAUUUUCUCAGAUUAAACUAUAGAUUAAUGGUUUUGUUUACAUAAAACUAUUAUGUGCUUGGAGAUCUUGGUCAUAGUUCUGUGAUAAUGUUCAUCACUUAUUUGCCUCAUUUGUUUGAAGUUUACUACUUUGAUGUUAUCGAUAUGGCACAAGGUGAACCCUAAGAUUAAUGCAAA